UUACACAUGCAAGUCGAACGAUGAUGCCCACUUGUGGGUGGAUUAGUGGCGAACGGGUGAGUAACACGUGAGUAACCUGCCCUUAACUCUGGGAUAAGCCUGGGAAACUGGGUCUAAUACCGGAUAUGACUCCUCAUCGCAUGGUGGGGGGUGGAAAGCUUUUUGUGGUUUUGGAUGGACUCGCGGCCUAUCAGCUUGUUGGUGAGGUAAUGGCUCACCAAGGCGACGACGGGUAGCCGGCCUGAGAGGGUGACCGGCCACACUGGGACUGAGACACGGCCCAGACUCCUACGGGAGGCAGCAGUGGGGAAUAUUGCACAAUGGGCGAAAGCCUGAUGCAGCGACGCCGCGUGAGGGAUGACGGCCUUCGGGUUGUAAACCUCUUUCAGUAGGGAAGAAGCGAAAGUGACGGUACCUGCAGAAGAAGCGCCGGCUAACUACGUGCCAGCAGCCGCGGUAAUACGUAGGGCGCAAGCGUUAUCCGGAAUUAUUGGGCGUAAAGAGCUCGUAGGCGGUUUGUCGCGUCUGCCGUGAAAGUCCGGGGCUCAACUCCGGAUCUGCGGUGGGUACGGGCAGACUAGAGUGAUGUAGGGGAGACUGGAAUUCCUGGUGUAGCGGUGAAAUGCGCAGAUAUCAGGAGGAACNNCNAUGGCGAAGGCAGGUCUCUGGGCAUUAACUGACGCUGAGGAGCGAAAGCAUGGGGAGCGAACAGGAUUAGAUNCNCUGGUAGUCCAUGCCGUAAACGUUGGGCACUAGGUGUGGGGGACAUUCCA
rnacentral:rRNA from 1 species